UUUUAUUCAUCUACCCCCCUAGCCACCACCUCCUUUUUUUCCCUGUCCCUUUCUUCCUCACGGCAGCAGCCCGCGCUCCUCCUCCCACACGGCAGCGCGCAGGGAGCUCCCUCUCCUCCCAUGGCGUCCUGCCCUUCUCCCCCUUGACUCCAACUUCCUCGACGCCCCCUUCUCCUUCUCCCUCGCGCAGCAGCACCCGGCGCCCCCUUUUCCUCCUCCCUGGUUCCCACGGCUGCCAGCAGGUCCUUCUCCCAUGGUGCUCGGCGCCCCUGCAGCAGGGAGCUCGGCUCUUCCCCUCCCAGGGCGCCACCUUUUCCCUCGGCGCCUCCCCCCAGCGAGACCUCCCAUGGCCGACCUCCACUUUCCCUGUCCAUGGCUGUUGUUCCAUGCGCCCUACUUUUUUUCUCUCCCAUAGAAAGCAGCAGGAGCAAUGCCGCCCGGGUCUAGGCCCCUGCUACUCCUCUCUUCCCCACAAAACAGCAGCCGCAGCGAGCUCGCUGUCGUCCAUGGCGCCCCCCUGCAAUCUUCCCCCUUGGCUAUUUGACGGAAUGCCCGUGGGAAAUAUUGUGUUGUGCGCAGCAGCCCCGACAUCUCCACGCUCUGUCUGCUCGCUGUUUUGUGAAGCCAGUGGACAGCACGCCGUGAUGCCCGUCGGGUGUUUGCUGUUUUUAUGCAGCCCCAACGUCGUCGUCGUUCACCCUCGGUGAGACCACGACGAUCCUUAUUCGAUUCCGCAUCGGCGUUGUUUUCCAGUGAUUAAUUGUGUAUGUGUGCUGUUUUGUUUUGUUUUGUUUUGUGGAGGAGAGGAAGCCCGUGUUUUGCGUGAAGGAGAAGGCAAGCCGCCCAACGCUCGUCGAUGUUCGGAGCGAUGCACAAAUUGGAAUCGACAUCAUUCUCACAAACACCGAUUGAGUUUAUUUAUGGACCGAGAGAUGAUGAUCGUGCAAGUGAUGUGGUGCCAACCACAAGAUAUAGUUGGUGGACGACCUAAGGAAGGAUGGACAUACCCAGUGGCUGCUCGCCAAGCGAGUAUCCCACAGCAAACACUAUCUAUGUGUUGAAUUCCAAGCAAGCAUCGAUUUUAUGCAUAACCGUUAAAUA